rnacentral:lncRNA from 1 species
CAGGGUGAGGUGCACUCCGAGCCGCCAGCUGCCGUGCGUCACCGCCAUUCCUUGGCACCAUGCACAGCGUGUCACAGCCUUCUCCAUUUCAUUUCUUAAUGUUCCCUGGGUCUGAAAUCCAUCAACCAGCGCUGAGAAAAAACAUACGAAGAGGAAGCCAAAGCAGAAAAGCUGAAAUGACAAAGAAGUUUAAGCAGAGAUGAAGAGAAAGCAGAAAUUUGGGGACCGGCCCGUCAGGACUUGUUCAGGCCUCACUGAUUUGCAGUCUGAAGGUAAAAACGAUCAUUAGAUCAACUGGUUCGACUGUCCCUCUGCCAUACCCAUACAGGCCCCAUUUGCUACAUCUGGCCUUUUUUUUUUUUUUUUGCAGUGAGUUGUAGUUGGCUCUUCUGUGAUGUUUCGUGAUCAAGGAACAUUGAUUUGGGGGUAUUUAAAAUCAGCUUCUGCUUAGCAGUGAUUCUCGGAGUGGGGACAGAAGGGUUUCAUUGAGAAAAAGGAGUGCCGGUGUGGGGGGUGAGGGAUGCGUAUGGCUGUGUGACUGCAGGUAUGGCACACAGGGAACCUGGGAAGGUCCAGGACUCUGCUGAGAAAGGAGAAAGUGGUUGAAAGAGGAUUCCUGGGUUGUCCAGGUCAGGACACAGAGCUCUCCUUCCUCAAGAGAUCACUGUGUUGCUAUGCAAGGGAAAGGGGAAAUCUGGUGUGGCUUUGCUGGGAGAAUGCUGCUUCGUGGCACGAUUUUGAUACCUCUCCACCAAAACCCUGGGAAAGGGGGUCAGAGCAGGUUGUGUAAGUGGGAAAGAGGUGGAUGAGGCUGUGGAGUGGGGGACAUGCUCUUGAGGCUUGUACAAGGAGUGCUUUUAAACUUAAUAAAUCUAUCCGUGUGUCAAAUGUCAGAAGAAGGCGAGGAGGGGAGGAAGGGAUGGAAAAACUGUGCACAAAGGAUGAGGAAUCUGGAGCAGCUCUGAAACCGAGGAACCUCCAGGCUGCCCUGCCUAGAGCCAGAGGCUGGGAAGCCAUUGGAGCUGGAGAUGGAGCAGUUGUGCUAAAGGGGGAUUCCCAACCUUCUGCCAUGCACCCAUCGCUCUGCGUUAAGCACAGCCUUGGGUGGGCGGAGCCCCCCAGUUUCGGGUGCCCAUUUCCAUGUGGGCACAGGGGGUCCUCCGUCCCCCCACUGCAGGUGUGGGGAUCCAACAGCAAACACAAAGCCCUGAGGCGCCUGAGGAAUAAUCCAGACCAGCUUUUGCUGGACACUGCUCCCCC